UACGUAGGGGCCGAGCGUUGUCCGGAGUUAUUGGGCGUAAAGCGCGCGCAGGCGGCCUCGCGCGCCCGACGUGAAAGCCCCCGGCUUAACCGGGGAGGGUCGUUGGGGACGGCGGGGCUUGAGGGCGGGAGAGGUCGGUGGAAUUCCCGGUGUAGUGGUGAAAUGCGUAGAGAUCGGGAGGAACACCAGAGGCGAAGGCGGCGACCUGGACGAGGUACUGACACUCAACUACGAAAGCGUGGGGAGCAAACAGG
rnacentral:rRNA from 1 species